AUGUUAACUAUCUCCCAUACCUCUCAUGAGUUUAUGGAAGACUUGAAGGAGGCAGAUUUGUGUGUUGCACUUGUUGUAAAGGGAGAAGAGCACCUGACUGUUGAAAUUCCAGCAAAGGUACGUGGUUUAUUGGCAGAAUUUCAGAACAUACUUGGGGAGCCACAUGGCUUGCCACCGAUGAGAGGAAUUCAACAUAGAAUUGACUUAAUUCCGGGAGCAAGUCUUCCUAAUCUUCCACACUAUCGAAUGAGCCCAAAGGAGCAUGAUAUAUUGAAGGCGAAAGUGGAGGAAUUGUUGCAAAAGGGGCACACGAGAAAGUAUUAG
rnacentral:rRNA from 1 species